rnacentral:rRNA from 1 species
GCAGUCGAGGGGUAGUUGUCUUCGGAUAAUGAGACCGGCGCACGGGUGCGUAACGCGUAUACAAUCUACCUUUUACAGAGGGAUAGCCCAGAGAAAUUUGGAUUAAUACCUCAUAGUAUUUUUGAAUGGCAUCAUUUGAUUAUUAAAGUUCCAACGGUAAAAGAUGAGUAUGCGUCCCAUUAGCUAGAUGGUAAGGUAACGGCUUACCAUGGCAACGAUGGGUAGGGGUCCUGAGAGGGAGAUCCCCCACACUGGUACUGAGACACGGACCAGACUCCUACGGGAGGCAGCAGUGAGGAAUAUUGGACAAUGGGCGCAAGCCUGAUCCAGCCAUGCCGCGUGCAGGAAGAAGGUCCUAUGGAUUGUAAACUGCUUUUAUACAGGAAGAAACACACCCUCGUGAGGGUACUUGACGGUACUGUAUGAAUAAGGACCGGCUAACUCCGUGCCAGCAGCCGCGGUAAUACGGAGGGUCCAAGCGUUAUCCGGGAUCAUUGGGUUUAAAGGGUCCGUAGGCGGUUUAAUAAGUCAGUGGUGAAAGCCCAUCGCUCAACGAUGGAACGGCCAUUGAUACUGUUAAACUUGAAUUAUUAGGAAGUAACUAGAAUAUGUAGUGUAGCGGUGAAAUGCUUAGAGAUUACAUGGAAUACCAAUUGCGAAGGCAGGUUACUACUAAUAUAUUGACGCUGAUGGACGAAAGCGUGGGGAGCGAACAGGAUUAGAUACCCUGGUAGUCCACGCCCGUAACGAUGGAUACUAGCUGUUCGGAGCAAUCUGAGUGGCUAAGCGAAAGUGAUAAGUAUCC